rnacentral:rRNA from 1 species
UACGUAGGGGGCAAGCGUUGUCCGGAUUUAUUGGGCGUAAAGAGCUCGUAGGGGGUUUGGUAAGUCGGAUGUGAAAUCUCCAGGCUCAACCUGGAGGGGUCAUUCGAUACUGCCAUGACUAGAGGUCGGUAGGGGAGUGUGGAAUUCCUGGUGGAGCGGUGAAAUGCGCAGAUAUCAGGAGGAACACCGAUGGCGAAGGCAGGUCUCUGGGCAUUAACUGACGCUGAGGAGCGAAAGCAUGGGGAGCGAACAGG